AGUGAACGCUGGCGGUAGGCCUAACACAUGCAAGUCGAACGGCAGCACAGUAAGAGCUUGCUCUUACGGGUGGCGAGUGGCGGACGGGUGAGGAAUACAUCGGAAUCUACUUUUUCGUGGGGGAUAACGUAGGGAAACUUACGCUAAUACCGCAUACGACCUACGGGUGAAAGCAGGGGAUCUUCGGACCUUGCGCGAUUGAAUGAGCCGAUGUCGGAUUAGCUAGUUGGCGGGGUAAAGGCCCACCAAGGCGACGAUCCGUAGCCGGUCUGAGAGGAUGAUCAGCCACACUGGAAGUGAGACACGGUCCAGACUCCUACGGGAGGCAGCAGUGGGGAAUAUUGGACAAUGGGCGCAAGCCUGAUCCAGCCAUACCGCGUGGGAGAAGAAGGCCUUCGGGUUGUAAAGCCCUUUUGUUGGGAAAGAAAAGCAGCAGGUUAAUACCCCGCUGUUCUGACGGUACCCAAAGAAUAAGCACCGGCUAACUUCGUG
rnacentral:rRNA from 1 species